AUUGAACGCUGGCGGCAUGCUUUACACAUGCAAGUCGAACGGCAGCGCGGGCUUCGGCCUGGCGGCGAGUGGCGAACGGGUGAGUAAUGCAUCGGAACGUGCCCCGUAGUGGGGGAUAGCCCGGCGAAAGCCGGAUUAAUACCGCAUACGACCUGAGGGUGAAAGCGGGGGACCGAAAGGCCUCGCGCUAUUGGAGCGGCCGAUGUCGGAUUAGCUAGUUGGUGGGGUAAAGGCUUACCAAGGCGACGAUCCGUAGCUGGUCUGAGAGGACGACCAGCCACACUGGGACUGAGACACGGCCCAGACUCCUACGGGAGGCAGCAGUGGGGAAUUUUGGACAAUGGGGGCAACCCUGAUCCAGCCAUGCCGCGUGCGGGAAGAAGGCCUUCGGGUUGUAAACCGCUUUUGUUCGGGAAGAAAGCCUUUGGGCUAAUACCCCGGGGGGAUGACGGUACCCGAAGAAUAAGCACCGGCUAACUACGUG
rnacentral:rRNA from 1 species